rnacentral:rRNA from 1 species
CAGGAUGAACGCUAGCGACAGGCUUAACACAUGCAAGUCGAGGGGCAGCAUAAAAGUAGCAAUACUUGGUGGCGACCGGCGCACGGGUGAGUAACGCGUAUGCAACCUACCUAUCAGAGGGGAAUAACCCGGCGAAAGUCGGACUAAUACCGCAUAAAACAGGGGCACCGCAUGGUGAUAUUUGUUAAAGAAAUUCGCUGAUAGAUGGGCAUGCGUUCCAUUAGGUAGUUGGUGAGGUAACGGCUCACCAAGCCGACGAUGGAUAGGGGAACUGAGAGGUUGGUCCCCCACACUGGUACUGAGACACGGACCAGACUCCUACGGGAGGCAGCAGUGAGGAAUAUUGGUCAAUGGGCGGGAGCCUGAACCAGCCAAGUCGCGUGAAGGAAGAAGGAUCUAUGGUUCGUAAACUUCUUUUGCAGGGGAAUAAAGUGCAGGACGUGUCCUGUUUUGUAUGUACCCUGAGAAUAAGGAUCGGCUAACUCCGUGCCAGCCGCCGC